ACCUAACACAAAUAUAAACCCUAAUGCAUACCGGGAGUCCUUGUACAUAAUUAACGAUACAUGGCGUUAAAUAGAGGACAUAUUCACUAGUAAGAUUUGAUAUCCCUUAUAAGCUGUUCCCAAAAGACAACGUCACCGUACUCAUCAUUUGGAUACUCAAUAUAUGAUUGACAAUUAACCAUUUCCAGUAUUUGAAGUGGAAGAUCGCAAGCAGAAAUUUGCUCGUAAAAUACCAGGAAAAGAAUGUUCUCACAAUUGCGUUCAUAUAUACUCUCCAUUUUAGCCAUAUUAUAUUCGAACAUACACCAGUACGAAGCUAGAUAUUUUGAAGACAUUAUGACAAUUGUUUUUCGGCUGUUAUGAAUUGCGGAUGAAAUGUUCGUGGCGAUAUCAUUACCAGGAAGGAAAUUACGCCUAUGCAAG
rnacentral:lncRNA from 1 species